AAAGCGCGCGUAGGCGGCUUGUUAAGUCGGAUGUGAAAUCCCUGGGCUCAACCUAGGCAUUGCAUUCGAUACUGGCAAGCUAGAGUAUGGGAGAGGAAGGUAGAAUUCCAGGUGUAGCGGUGAAAUGCGUAGAGAUCUGGAGGAAUACCGAUGGCGAAGGCAGCCUUCUGGCCUAAUACUGACGCUGAGGUGCGAAAGCAUGGGGAGCAAACAGGAUUAGAUACCCUGGU
rnacentral:rRNA from 1 species